rnacentral:rRNA from 1 species
CCCUUAGAUGUCCUGGGCUGCACGCGCGCUACACUGGAAGUUACGGAUUGAGAUACUACCUUGUCCGAAAUGGUCCGGGUAAUCACCUAAAAGCUUGUCAUAAUUGGAAUGGAUUAUUGUAACUAGUAAUCCUGAACGAGAAAUUCCUAGUAAGUCCCAGUCAACAGCUGGUACUGAUUACGUCCCUGCCCUUUGUACACACCGCCCGUCGCUACUACUGAUUGGACGUUUAAGCAAGAUUUUUAAACACUGACAGUGUGUAGUUCACGCUAUACUACAGUGAGAAGAAGAAGAUCGAGCUUACUUGUCUAGAGGAAGUAAAAGUCGUAACA